ACGAACGCUGGCGGCGUGCUUAACACAUGCAAGUCGAACGGAAAGGCCCUGCUUUUGUGGGGUGCUAGAGUGGCGAACGGGUGAGUAACACGUGAGUAACCUGCCCUUGACUUUGGGAUAACUUCAGGAAACUGGGGCUAAUACCGGAUAGGAGCUCCUGCUGCAUGGUGGGGGUUGGAAAGUUUCGGCGGUUGGGGAUGGACUCGCGGCUUAUCAGCUUGUUGGUGGGGUAGUGGCUUACCAAGGCUUUGACGGGUAGCCGGCCUGAGAGGGUGACCGGCCACAUUGGGACUGAGAUACGGCCCAGACUCCUACGGGAGGCAGCAGUGGGGAAUAUUGCACAAUGGGCGGAAGCCUGAUGCAGCAACGCCGCGUGCGGGAUGACGGCCUUCGGGUUGUAAACCGCUUUCGCCUGUGACGAAGCGUGAGUGACGGUAAUGGGUAAAGAAGCACCGGCUAACUACGUG
rnacentral:rRNA from 1 species